rnacentral:rRNA from 1 species
UACGGAGGGUGCGAGCGUUGUCCGGAAUCAUUGGGCGUAAAGGGCGCGUAGGUGGCCCCUCAAGCGUGCGGUGAAAGUCAGGGGCUCAACCCCUGAUCGGCCGUCGCGAACUGGGGAGCUUGAGCACUGUAGAGGCAGGCGGAAUUCCGGGUGUAGCGGUGGAAUGCGUAGAGAUCCGGAAGAACACCGGUGGCGAAGGCGGCCUGCUGGGCAG